CCGCCUGGGGAGUACGGCCGCAAGGUUAAAACUCAAAUGAAUUGACGGGGGCCCGCACAAGCGGUGGAGCAUGUGGUUUAAUUCGAUGCAACGCGAAGAACCUUACCUACCCUUGACAUCCAAUGAAUCGCUUAGAGAUAGGCGAGUGCCUUCGGGAACAUUGAGACAGGUGCUGCAUGGCUGUCGUCAGCUCGUGUUGUGAAAUGUUGGGUUAAGUCCCGUAACGAGCGCAACCCUUAUCCUUAGUUGCCAACAGGUCAUGCUGGGAACUCUAGGGAGACUGCCGCUGAUAAAGCGGAGGAAGGUGGGGACGACGUCAAGUCAUCAUGGCCCUUAUGGGUAGGGCUACACACGUGCUACAAUGGCCGGUACAGAGGGCAGCGAAACCGCGAGGUCAAGCAAAUCCCAGAAAGCCGGUCUUAGUCCGGAUUGGAGUCUGCAACUCGACUCCAUGAAGUCGGAAUCGCUAGUAAUCGCGAAUCAGAAUGUCGCGGUGAUACGUUCCCGGGCUUUGCACUCACCGCC
rnacentral:rRNA from 1 species